ACGGGUACAGCUCAGUGGUGGAGCGCUUGACUAGCACCUAAGAGGUGCUGGGCUCCAUCCCUGUACACGUG
rnacentral:tRNA from 1 species